UUGAAAGGUCCGCUWCUUUCGUCACUAGACAACCCGGAAGCGUCAAUUUGACCUCAAAGGACACCAACACUUACUCUUUAUAAAGUAGCAAUGGGAUGGCGAGUGGUGUUGAGGGGUUUCAUGCCUCUGUGUUUACGUCGACUUGCCUACUUGACCACCAACAAUUACAUGGGYGCAAGGAUUCGUCCAGCCCGCACAGACCUGACGGUGACAUGUCGCUACCCUCUUUGGACAACCCAUCCUGUAAGAACACUACAUCUGUGCCCUAACUUGUGUGCUGGUCAUAAUAAGUGGUCAAAGGUGAAAAAUAUAAAAGGACCCAAAGAUGCAGCCCGRAGUCGAAUGUUCAUGAAGUUUGGGAUGAUGAUAAGAAUUGCAGUCAAAGAAGGGAGAUCUAGUAAUCCAGAAUUCAAUCUAGCAUUGGCGAAUGUAGUGGAGCAAUGCCGAGGCAAGAACAUGCCCAAAGCRUCCAUAGAAGCUGCCAUCAAGGGAGCGGAAAAGUCCAAGGCAGGAACCCAGCACACAUAUGAAGCCAGGGGGCCUGGUGGCUGCAUGCUGCUCAUCGAUAUGCUAACUGACAACAACACCCGAAGUCACCAGGAACUCAAACAUCUGCUCAACAAACACGGGGCAGCGCUGUGCGACGGGGUGCGUCAUAACUUCAGCAGGAAGGGGGUGGUGGUGGCGCAGGGGCAGGGUGUGUCGUCCGAGCGAGCUCUGGAACUGGCCAUCGAGGCGGGGGCCGAGGACGUCCAAGAAACAGAGGAUGAGGAUGAUAAGUCCCUCCUACAGUUUGUGUGUGACAUGACAGAGCUGAAGAAGGUGCGGACCUCGCUGGAAGAACUGGGGGUGCGCACUGUGUCCGCUAGCCUGGAGUUUGUGUCCCACAAACCCACGCAGCUUCCACAAGCCCAGCUGGAGGCAGCCUUAUCUCUGAUAGAAGCCCUGAGCGACUGCCUAGACGUGGUGCGGGUCUGGGACAACAUCCAGGCCCAUGACUGACAGUCAUUAUGUACUAUUGUCAUAUUACAUAUUAUGGACAUUUCACGUUAGGAUAUAUUGCACGUUUGGAAAUUUGAAUUGAGCAGACAAAUCUUAACACCAGAUCUGCUCAUCUAUGGACUGUACAAAAGUCAUGGUUGCAGUUAUUUUAAGAAGACAUUGCGUUUGUCAGUGCUAAGAAAAAUGCAUUUAUCUGGAAACUCGGGAGCAAGAGAAGUUGGACAGGAUUCAGACUUGAGAUCUGUGUGUUUAACUCAAAUGUUCACCCAAGUCUGAGUUGCAGGUGCUUAUUUCAACUCUGAAUCGUCCCGAUUGUGACUAGCCAGACUGAGUCUGUGAGGUAAAAGGAGUUUGUGUCAGGAAACCUCUUGUGUACCUGCUUAAAGGAUAUCUUGGAUAUGAAUGUAAAAACAACUAUCAUGUCCAAAUAAAACUAUUUAAUUCUGUGUAAACUGCUCAGAACUCUGGAAGGACUUGGCUACAAUGUCACUGCAUGAAUGUGAAGUUAUCAAACAUGCAUUAUCUAAUACUGUUUGUUUCAGCACUGUUGAUAUAGUAAAUCAUCAACACGUAA